UCGCAGGCAGCCGGGCCACCCCAACCAAGCGCUAAUAAAAUCGCCACCGAGGCGUGGCCGCCGCUCGGGCUUUCUUCCUAGGGGGCGCUCCGGAGCGCGGGCGGGAGAUGCACACGAGGGAGCGGGACUCUUUGCCCUCUCUGGGCGGAAGGAACGCGGUCACCCUGAGAAAGGACCGGCGCGACCCGACUGGGCGACCGGGGGGAGCGGCCCCCCCCCUCUGCGGACCGGGCUGCAGGCACGGGCCUGAGCGCGGCGUUCCUCAGAUGUCUGGACCCGCAGGCCGCUCAGUUUCCCGGUGUCCGCUGGCAGCCUCGAGCUAGGGGCGCGCUCUGGCCCGCGGUGCAGUCGCGCAGUAUAGCAGGGCGGCCUUGGGGCUCUGAGGCCCAACCGGCGAAAGAAGUAGACUCGGCCCUAACCAUCUCGACGCUACAAUUUUUGUUUCUGGAUCUCUGAACUGGGGAGUGAGUGCUGUGGAGUGAGGGGGAAAUAAGAUAAACAUGAGACCUGGCCCAGUAGACGCGUUUUCAGUUCUUGCUGACCUGCGGUCUCCGCUUGGAGCGCUGGGGGAGAGGGCGGAGUCCCCCGGCAGAGGUGAAGCGAGAGCUGCUUUCUGGCAGCGUUUCCAGCCUGGAAGGAGUUGUGCUCUGUAAUGCUUUUCUGAAUUGCAUUCGGCGAAAGGAGUAGGAAACUGCGUUUAUUCCUUCACCAGAUUUGAGGGCAUCUGCUGCGUGCCAGGCUGCCUGGCAUUGGGGGCUGUUUAUGAUUUUCUUUUCCUCUUUUUCUGAUUUCUUCCCCCCCACUGACGAAUAAGUAGAAAUAAGUGAGGAUUUAACUGUGAGCCUCUAGUAUGCAGAUGUAUGCUGAGCGGUAUUGGGGUUCAGCAGAUACUCUCCAAACACUUGAAAAUACUGUCUUGUAAUAAUUCUAUUAUGGGUCAAUCCAGAGUGGAUCAAACCAGAAAUGAACGUCUCUGGCCAGAGCAAACCUUACUGAGAGAAAUAAUAUAUCUAACUCAGGAAUUGAGCCAAGAAAACCCUGGGAAGUAAAUAUUUCUGAAGUGAAAAGUCUCCUGUGUGUGUACAAAACUAUCUGGUUCUAGUAGUAGAGAUAGUCUCAUCUCUCUAUUAAAGCUUAAUGUGAUUCCAUUAAAUAUUUGAAUCAUAAAACUGGACCUUUUAUUCUGUUCCUUUUCUCAAUAAAUGCAGUUCUGAAUAUUA